CUAAUAACCCAAAAACUAUAAUAAGAAAAAGAAAGUAGAAACACACUCCAAGUCGUAGACUCAUAGUAGCUAAGGAACUCACGCGCUCAAUUCUUCCGCUAAGGAGAAGACAAGUGUAGUCUCCAUAUUGCACCCCAGUAAUCACAUAUACCACGCGCUUUAAAAGGCGUGGACCCACGCAGCACACAACCCAUUGCCUCUCCCUCCCGAGAUGACUCCCGCUUCCAAAACUCUCUUCUAAACCCGGAAAACACACACAGCCGUGGGUUCAAAAAUACACUCCUAUCCGUCGGCUCUGUCUCUAUCUCAAAAUCUCUUCGAAAUUCGUAUCUAAAACAAAACCGAAAACGACGAGUAGAAGAAAAAGGAAUACCCAUUGAGAUACAAACCAUGGAAACGCCUACAAUCAAGCACCCAAAUCUGAACCAAACGGCAAAAGUACUUGAUUUGCCUUUGAAAUCCCACACCAACUCACACUCUCAUUCUCCGAGCUUUCUCCAGCACAACGGCUUCAACUCCUCCGAGCUCCCAAUCUCCGACAUAGAGAUGAUAGCCAUACAGUCCAUGGAGUACACGAGUCUCAAGGACCUGUUGCCGCUGUCGAGCUUGUCACCGACAAACAACUCGAGCUGGUACGACGAGAUCCCGAUCAAGAAUCCGCUGGUCAAGCACGCGGCUCUGGCUUAUCUCCAGCCUAUGUCGACGCCUCGGGAGGCAGGGGACAAGGGCUUCUUCGGGAGGCUCAGGGAGCAAUAUUGCUCUUGCGAGGGCGGUUGCUUAUGGUGGCUCGGCUACGUCGUUUCGAUAAUUAAGGAAGCUUUUCGUGAGAGAAGAGAGAUUCUGUAUUAUGCUGAUGAUGAAGGGGAAGAAGACGAGGAUGAUGAUGACGAUGAUGAGAAGGUUGACUGAGACAGAGAGACAGAGAGUGCAGAGAUGCUUUUUUGCAACCAUGGAGGUUUGACCGGAUUAGAGAUUGUGUCCAAACAAUUAAAAUAUAUGGAACUCUAUGGAUUCGUGGCGGAGAGUUGAAUUUUUUUGCUAUAUUAUAUGGCCCUUUUUUUCAAUUUUUUUGUUUAAUCAUAUGAUUAUCGUUUCUCGAAAGUUUGUUCAGCGGCUA